rnacentral:rRNA from 1 species
GCGAACGCUGGCGGCAGGCCUAACACCUGCAAGUCGAACGCACCUUUCGGGGUUAGUGGCGGACGGGUGAGUAACACGUGGGAACGUGCCUUUAGGUUCGGAAUAACUCAGGGAAACUUGUGCUAAUACCGAAUGUGCCCUUCGGGGGAAAGAUUUAUCGCCUUUAGAGCGGCCCGCGUCUGAUUAGCUAGUUGGUUGAGGUAAUGGCUCACCAAGGCGACGAUCAGUAGCUGGUCUGAGAGGAUGAUCAGCCACAUUGGGACUGAGACACGGCCCAAACUCCUACGGGAGGCAGCAGUGGGGAAUCUUGCGCAAUGGGCGAAAGCCUGACGCAGCCAUGCCGCGUGAAUGAUGAAGGUCUUAGGAUUGUAAAAUUCUUUCACCGGGGACGAUAAUGACGGUACCCGGAGAAGAAGCCCCGGCUAACUUCGUG